AUGAGUAGGGCGGGACACGUGGUAUCCUGUCUGAAUAUGGGGGGACCAUCCUCCAAGGCUAAAUACUCCUGACUGACCGAUAGUGAACCAGUACCGUGAGGGAAAGGCGAAAAGAACCCCGGCGAGGGGAGUGAAAAAGAACCUGAAACCGUGUACGUACAAGCAGUGGGAGCACGCUUAGGCGUGUGACUGCGUACCUUUUGUAUAAUGGGUCAGCGACUUAUAUUCUGUAGCAAGGUUAACCGAAUAGGGGAGCCGAAGGGAAACCGAGUCUUAACUGGGCGUUAAGUUGCAGGGUAUAGACCCGAAACCCGGUGAUCUAGCCAUGGGCAGGUUGAAGGUUGGGUAACACUAACUGGAGGACCGAACCGACUAAUGUUGAAAAAUUAGCGGAUGACUUGUGGCUGGGGGUGAAAGGCCAAUCAAACCGGGAGAUAGCUGGUUCUCCCCGAAAGCUAUUUAGGUAGCGCCUCGUGAAUUCAUCUCCGGGGGUAGAGCACUGUUUCGGCAAGGGGGUCAUCCCGACUUACCAACCCGAUGCAAACUGCGAAUACCGGAGAAUGUUAUCACGGGAGACACACGGCGGGUGCUAACGUCCGUCGUGAAGAGGGAAACAACCCAGACCGCCAGCUAAGGUCCCAAAGUCAUGGUUAAGUGGGAAACGAUGUGGGAAGGCCCAGACAGCCAGGAUGUUGGCUUAGAAGCAGCCAUCAUUUAAAGAAAGCGUAAUAGCUCACUGGUCGAGUCGGCCUGCGCGGAAGAUGUAACGGGGCUAAACCAUGCACCGAAGCUGCGGCAGCGACGCUUAUGCGUUGUUGGGUAGGGGAGCGUUCUGUAAGCCUGCGAAGGUGUGCUGUGAGGCAUGCUGGAGGUAUCAGAAGUGCGAAUGCUGACAUAAGUAACGAUAAAGCGGGUGAAAAGCCCGCUCGCCGGAAGACCAAGGGUUCCUGUCCAACGUUAAUCGGGGCAGGGUGAGUCGACCCCUAAGGCGAGGCCGAAAGGCGUAGUCGAUGGGAAACAGGUUAAUAUUCCUGUACUUGGUAUUACUGCGAAGGGGGGACGGAGAAGGCUAUGUUGGCCGGGCGACGGUUGUCCCGGUUUAAGCGUGUAGGCUGGUUUUCCAGGCAAAUCCGGAAAAUCAAGGCUGAGGCGUGAUGACGAGGCACUACGGUGCUGAAGCAACAAAUGCCCUGCUUCCAGGAAAAGCCUCUAAGCAUCAGGUAACAUCAAAUCGUACCCCAAACCGACACAGGUGGUCAGGUAGAGAAUACCAAGGCGCUUGAGAGAACUCGGGUGAAGGAACUAGGCAAAAUGGUGCCGUAACUUCGGGAGAAGGCACGCUGAUAUGUAGGUGAAGUCCCUUGCGGAUGGAGCUGAAAUCAGUCGAAGAUACCAGCUGGCUGCAACUGUUUAUUAAAAACACAGCACUGUGCAAACACGAAAGUGGACGUAUACGGUGUGACGCCUGCCCGGUGCCGGAAGGUUAAUUGAUGGGGUCAGCGCAAGCGAAGCUCUUGAUCGAAGCCCCGGUAAACGGCGGCCGUAACUAUAACGGUCCUAAGGUAGCGAAAUUCCUUGUCGGGUAAGUUCCGACCUGCACGAAUGGCGUAAUGAUGGCCAGGCUGUCUCCACCCGAGACUCAGUGAAAUUGAACUCGCUGUGAAGAUGCAGUGUACCCGCGGCAAGACGGAAAGACCCCGUGAACCUUUACUAUAGCUUGACACUGAACAUUGAGCCUUGAUGUGUAGGAUAGGUGGGAGGCUUUGAAGUGUGGACGCCAGUCUGCAUGGAGCCGGCCUUGAAAUACCACCCUUUAAUGUUUGAUGUUCUAACGUGGACCCGUGAUCCGGGUUGCGGACAGUGUCUGGUGGGUAGUUUGACUGGGGCGGUCUCCUCCUAAAGAGUAACGGAGGAGCACGAAGGUUGGCUAAUCCUGGUCGGACAUCAGGAGGUUAGUGCAAUGGCAUAAGCCAGCUUGACUGCGAGCGUGACGGCGCGAGCAGGUGCGAAAGCAGGUCAUAGUGAUCCGGUGGUUCUGAAUGGAAGGGCCAUCGCUCAACGGAUAAAAGGUACUCCGGGGAUAACAGGCUGAUACCGCCCAAGAGUUCAUAUCGACGGCGGUGUUUGGCACCUCGAUGUCGGCUCAUCACAUCCUGGGGCUGAAGUAGGUCCCAAGGGUAUGGCUGUUCGCCAUUUAAAGUGGUACGCGAGCUGGGUUUAGAACGUCGUGAGACAGUUCGGUCCCUAUCUGCCGUGGGCGCUGGAGAACUGAGGGGGGCUGCUCCUAGUACGAGAGGACCGGAGUGGACGCAUCACUGGUGUUCGGGUUGUCAUGCCAAUGGCACUGCCCGGUAGCUAAAUGCGGAAGAGAUAAGUGCUGAAAGCAUCUAAGCACGAAACUUGCCCCGAGAUGAGUUCUCCCUGACCCUUUAAGGGUCCUGAAGGAACGUUGAAGACGACGACGUUGAUAGGCCGGGUGUGUAAGCGCAGCGAUGCGUUGAGCUAACCGGUACUAAUGAACCGUGAGGCUUAACCUU
rnacentral:rRNA from 1 species